UGGGGAAUAUUGGACAAUGGGGGCAACCCUGAUCCAUCCAUGCCGCGUGUGUGAAGAAGGCCUUUUGGUUGUAAAGCACUUUAAGCAGUGAAGAAGACUCCAUGGUUAAUACCCAUGGACGAUGACAUUAGCUGCAGAAUAAGCACCGGCUAACUCUGUGCCAGCAGCCGCGGUAAUACAGAGGGUGCAAGCGUUAAUCGGAAUUACUGGGCGUAAAGCGAGCGUAGGUGGCUUGAUAAGUCAGAUGUGAAAGCCCCGGGCUUAACCUGGGAACGGCAUCUGAUACUGUUAGGCUAGAGUAGGUGAGAGGAAGGUAGAAUUCCAGGUGUAGCGGUGAAAUGCGUAGAGAUCUGGAGGAAUACCGAUGGCGAAGGCAGCCUUCUGGCAUCAUACUGACACUGAGGUUCGAAAGCGUGGGUAGCAAACA
rnacentral:rRNA from 1 species